CAUAUGUCUUGCCAUUAACUGUAGCUUUUGAUUCUGUGUCUUUCCAUAAGCCUUGCCCAAGGCUAGAAUUUUCAGCAAUUCCUUAUCACUUCUCAACGUGAUAGCACUUGCAUUUUGCCUUGGAUUAACCUCAAUUUGAGAUGGUAAUUUGCUUUGGCAUUCCAGCCUACUCAUAUAUUAUGUUAAUUGGCUCACUUGGGUCUCCAACUUACUUAUUUAUAUUGAGUAAAGGAAUCUUUACCUUGACUUUGUGAAAAGUUUCUAGGAUCUCCUUGUCAUUUCUUUCUUUCCUUAAUUGCGCAAUCUUUAUGGAAAUGGUAGAGGGAUUAUGAAUUAUGCUAGUUAGUUAGAGUUUGGCUUUGUUCCAUAUGUCUUGCCAUCAACUGUAGCUUUUGAUUCUGUGUCUUUCCAUAAGCCUUGCCCAAGGCUAGAAUUUUCAGCAAUUCCUUAUCACUUCUCAACGUGAUAGCACUUGCAUUUUGCCUUGGAUUAACCUCAAUUUGAGAUGGUAAUUUGCUUUGGCAUUCCAGCCUACUCAUAUAUUAUGUUAAUUGGCUCACUUGGGUCUCCAACUUACUUAUUUAUAUUGAGUAAAGGAAUCUUUAGCUUGACUUUGU
rnacentral:lncRNA from 1 species